GAUGAACGCUAGCGGCAGGCUUAAUACAUGCAAGUCGAGGGGCAGCACAGGUAGCAAUACUGGGUGGCGACCGGCAAACGGGUGCGGAACACGUACACAACUUACCUUAGACUGGGGGAUAGCCCAGGGAAACUUGGAUUAAUACCCCAUAAAACAGGGGGCCCGCAUGGGCAUAUUGGUUAAAAUUUAUCGCUUUAAGAUGGGUGGACGGAUGAUUAGGUAGUUGGUAGGGUAAAGGCCUACCAAGCCGACGAUCAUUAACUGGUGUGAGAGCCCGACCAAACACACGGGCACUGAGACACGGGCCCGACUCCUACGGGAGGCAGCAGUAAGGAAUAUUGUUCAAUGGACGGAAGUCUGAACCAGCCAUGCCGCGUGAAGGAUGAAGGUCCUCUGGAUUGUAAACUUCUUUUAUAGGGGGCGAAAAAGGGCCAUUCUUGGUCAACUGACGGUACCCUAUGAAUAAGCACCGGCUAACUCCGUGCCAGCAGCCGCCGUAA
rnacentral:rRNA from 1 species